GGAUCCUAUGGACUAUUGAAGUAACUUAAAUUACACUUUUAAUGAGCUUUAAUUUACUAUACAAUGGGUUCACAUAAGAGACUAAACUUGUGUUUGGUUUGACUGGUAAACAAAAAAUGUUUAGACUGACAGAUUUUUUCCCUCUAUCGAUGAUUAUUCAGUCAAAUUAGAGCAAACAUCAUCAAGCUAAUUCCCAAUUUUUGUGUGAGUUAAUUGUUGUAUACAUUAACGAAUGAGAUUUGUCUUCCGUUGAUUGCAGAUUUUCAAGGACUGGUUAAUUGGCUAACAGCUUUUUAAUUACCUCAACCCACAAACAAAUAUGCAGAAAAGAAGAUGAGAUGCUUUGGAUGAAGGAAUCAAUGAUUUCAAAUUGCGGAAAAAAGGUUAAAACAAUAAAACGUUGGGUUAUCUGUCAAAUAUCCUUACGCUUCAGUCAACAAAUCGAUUCGUACCUUGAUAAUCAAUAUAAACCUUUUUUACCAGCUAAUUUAUUUAUCUUCACGUGAGGCUAAAUAUAGCGAAAAUUUCUCUCCUUCACUUUUUCACCGUUAGAUGAUGAUGAUGAUCUUGAUAGUGAAAGCUAUGACUUUGGCUCUUGUUGGCUACAAAUUUAUUUCCCUCACCUUUUAAUUGUUAUUUGAUUUUUCUUGUAACACUCUUCGGCAAUAACAAUUGAGCGAUUAACCAAACGAAGAUUUGACACUCGUGAAUCAAGGAUAUCAAUAACUGUGCAAUGAAAGUGAAGUACAAAUAAGCUUUUAUCCUGGUUAGCGGAUUUCGGUAAAAGUGAUCUAAGGCGCAAAUAUACGACUUAUAAAUAAGGUGACAAUUUUCUUGAUUCGAUUUAGUUUCAUGUUGUUCAUCGUGCAGUACAAAUCUCUCAGCAAGGCCAUUUUUUGCUGUCAAAGGAAGCAUCAAGUCAAAUGUUUCCUACAAAAGGAUUAAGCUCAAUUUUAAUAGUGAUUAGUUUAAUAACCAUUGUCAAAUUGUGUCCAGCGUCAGCCGGAGAAAAAGAUAAAGGUGGACAUUCAAUUGUCAUGGAUGGAUCAAAUUUAAUAUUGAAAGAUCAUGAUAAAAAGAAAAAGGGAAACACAAUUGUGAUUAAAGGAAGCAGCAGUGGAUGCGAAUGCCCGAAAAAAACAGUGCCAGUGCCAUAUCCAAUCAUGAUUCCUCAGAAGGAGGUUAAAUAUGUUCAUGUCCCGGUUCAUCAUGGUGGUAGUGGUUGGUUUGGUGGACAUGGUAUGAUGCCUGAUGGAUUUGCUCGAUCAGAUCAAAUUUUAUCCGAACAUAUGGAGCGUCCUUUGGUGGGAAUUGGGGAGAAACUUGGCGUUGACUAUGAUUUUUUGAGCAAUAGUGAACAUCGAAUGGAAAAUGAUCCUUCAAUUAUGCCUUUAGAAUUGGGCGAAAUGCCCGUUAAUCCGUAUUGAAAAUAUGGUUGAUCUGGUCUCAAGUUAAAAAAAGCCAUAAAUGUUAAAAAUUAUUAUUUCUAUUGAAAUAAAACAAAUUGAUUCUGU